rnacentral:rRNA from 1 species
GACGAACCGAGCGAACGUUGUUCGGAAUCACUGGGCUUAAAGGGCGCGUAGGCGGAUUUGCAAGUCCGGGGUGAAAUCCCACAGCUCAACUGUGGAACUGCCUCGGAUACUGUGAGUCUCGAGGGUGGUAGGGGUAUGCGGAACUAUCGGUGGAGCGGUGAAAUGCGUUGAUAUCGAUAGGAACACUCGGUGGCGAAGGCGGGUCUC